CUGCUGCCUCCCGUAGGAGUUUGGGCCGUGUCUCAGUCCCAAUGUGGCCGUCCACCCUCUCAGGCCGGCUACUGAUCGUCGCCUUGGUGGGCCGUCACCCCGCCAACAAGCUAAUCAGACGCGGGUCCAUCUUACACCACCGGAGUUUUUCACACAAAUCCAUGCGGCUUCGUGCGCUUAUGCGGUAUUAGCACCUAUUUCUAAGUGUUAUCCCCCAGUGUAAGGCAGGUUACCCACGCGUUACUCACCCGUCCGCCACUAAGUA
rnacentral:rRNA from 1 species